rnacentral:rRNA from 1 species
CAGCAGCCGCGGUAAUACGGAGGGUGCGAGCGUUAACCGGAAUAACUGGGCGUAAAGGGCACGCAGGCGGUUAUUUAAGUGAGGUGUGAAAGCCCCGGGCUUAACCUGGGAAUUGCAUUUCAGACUGGGUAACUAGAGUACUUUAGGGAGGGGUAGAAUUCCACGUGUAGCGGUGAAAUGCGUAGAGAUGUGGAGGAAUACCGAGGGCGAAGGCAGCCCCUUGGGAAUGUACUGACGCUCAUGUGCGAAAGCGUGGGGAGCAAUCAGGAUUAGAUACCCCCGUAGUCCCUGUCUCUUAUAC